GUCUGGGACAACCAAAGCCCAGAACAGUCCUUCAGGACACCCAUAGUUUCUCCUCUGGUCUCCUAAGAUGGACAAGAGUAUCUUGAACCAUCCAAACCACAAACAUCUCCAGCACAUGGUUUCCAUUAUAACAAUCCUGGGUAUCUGUCAAAAGUGAAGAGCAGGAGGUUGUAACUCUGAGGAGAGAAGACAGACCGGAGAGUACUUGGUGAACUAAAGGCAGAAGAACUCAACAACAUGUCUUUUCCCUUUAAUUCCUGCAUAUCAGUCUACAAAAAGCAAAAGAUUAGGUGCCAUGAGAUCCAACUUUGAGGCCCAGAUACACUUAUGCCCAUGUGACUGAUUUUCAAAUUCCUGACCUUUUCUACUUACCUCAAAGAACUGAUUGUUCAUUCAUUCACCAAUCAAAUUUCAAACUAUACUUUGCUGUGGGCAUGGAUGGAGAAGCAGGUCACAUCUGAUGAAUGAAGAGGAGCUUCCAAGCAGCCAAAGUAAAGUAUUUUGCUACACAAACUGCAGGAUCAAUGUUCGUGUUUUGAAGCUCAAGAGAUUGACAGCUGUAGAAAUUAAGUUCCAGAAUAUAUCCACCAGCCAGGUUCAUAAUUGUCUCAGAAGUGGCCCUGGGAAACCCAAACAGCUCCAAGGACCACUAUACCAGGCCACUCCGCUUCUCUAAUAAAAUAUUUCUACCACUACUCUUAAAAUUUGUUUUUAAAAUUUAAUUUUUAAGAGCUGUUUUAGGUUUACAACAAAAUUAAGAAAGAGGUACAGAUAUUUCCCACAUACCCCCUGUCCCAUACAUGCAUAACUUCCCCUUUAUCAACGUCAGUCUCCA
rnacentral:lncRNA from 1 species